rnacentral:rRNA from 1 species
AGUGAACGCUGGCGGCAUGCCUAACACAUGCAAGUCGAACGGCAGCACGGUAAGUUUUCGCUUCUGCCGUUUGCGGCUGGCGGGCGAGUUACACAUGCAUCAGCUUCUUCUUUGUCGUGGGUAAUUCCGUAGCGCCACUUCUACUACCUCCGAAUAUCUCCUACCGGUUGGUGCCCUUGUUAUUCCGAGCUUUCGUGUUUCUAUUAGCCGGUGUCGCAUUAGCUAGUUGGCGGGGUAAAGGCCUACCAAGGCGACGAUCCGUAGCUGGUCUGAGAGGAUGAUCAGCCACACUGGAACUGAGACACGGUCCAGACUCCUACGGGAGGCAGCAGUGGGGAAUAUUGGGCAAUGGGCGAAAGCCUGAUCCAGCAAUGCCGCGUGAGUGAAGAAGGCCUUCGGAUUGUAAAGCUCUGUUGUUAGGAAAGAAAAAAUGGAGGAUAAAACAGGCACGUCUUGACGGUACCGAAAGAAUAAGCACCGGCUAACUACGUG